GAACGCAUAUUGCGCCCUUUGGCAUUCCGAAGGGCAUACCUGUUCGAGCGUCAUUACACCCCUCAAACAUAACUGUUUGAUGUUGGGCGAUGCCUGGAGGCAUGCCUAAAAUUUAGCGACGGUACAUUAAACCUCCAGCGCACAGAUGUCGUUAUGUGGGCGAGAUGGCACCGGUCUCUUAUGAAUUUCUGAAUGUUGACCUCGGAUCAGGUAGGGAUACCCGCUGAACUUAAG
rnacentral:misc_RNA from 1 species